AUUAAAAUAUUUAAAAUAUUCUAAAAAUUUAUUAUUUAUAAAAUUAUAUAAUGUAAAUGAUUUUAUAAAUUUUAUGUAUUUUAAUUAAAUAUAUUAAAAUUUAAAAAAUUAAUUUUUAAAAUAAAGUAUAUAUUAUUAAAAAUAUCUAUAGUAUAUAUUAUUCUUGAAUCACUAAAAAUAAUAUUUAUAUAACUUAUAAAGAAUUAUAAAUUUUAAUCAUUUUAAUAAUUAUUAAUA
rnacentral:tRNA from 1 species